rnacentral:rRNA from 1 species
AAUAGUUAAGGUCUUUAAACCCAAAGAAUUUGGCGGUAUUUUAUUCUGUUUAGAGGAACCUAUUUCGUAAUUGAUAGUACACGAUUUACUUUACUUAAUUUAUUUGUUUGUAUAUCUCCGUUAUCAGAAAAUCUUAUUGGAGUUAUAAUUUUCUUAUUAUUUCACUAAAUUUUAUUUCAGGUCAAGGUGCAGCUUAUAAUUAAGAGUAAUAUGGGUUACAAUAAUUUUAUAUUAUUAUGGAUUUAAUUUUGGAAUAUUUUAAUGAAGGUGGAUUUAAUAGUAAUUUGAAUAAUUUAAUUCAAUUGAUAUUGGCUCUAAAAUGUGUACACAU